ACAUGCUUAAACGCCCGACUUUAUGGAAGGGUGGUAUUUAUUAGACUGAAGCCAAUAUUCCUUGUGUCUAUUGCGGUGAUUCAUAAUAACUGAUCGAAUCUCUUUUGAGAUAAAUCAUUCAAGUUUCUGCCCUAUCAGCUUUCGAUGGUAGUGUAUUGGACUACCAUGGCAGUAACGGGUAACGAAGAAUUAGGGUUCGAUUUCGGAGAGGGAGCAUGAGAAACGGCUACCACAUCUAAGGAAGGCAGCAGGCGCGUAAAUUACCCAAUCCUGACUCAGGGAGGUAGUGACAAGAAAUAGCAAACCGGGAACCUCAUGGUUUCACGGUAUUGCAAUGAGAACAAUUCAAAACCCUUAGCGAGAAUCAAGUGGAGGACAAGUCUGGUGCCAGCACCCGCGGUAAUUCCAGCUCCACUAGCGUAUAUUAAAGUUGUUGCAGUUAAAAAGCUCGUAGUUGAACCUCUGUCUGGGGCUAGUUUUGGCUUUGGUCAGGCUAGUUCUAGGCAUCCGCCUACAAGACUUAGAGGGCAUUUAGUUGUUCACUAGGAGGAGUAGGCAUUUUACUUUGAAAAAAUUAGAGUGUUUAAGGCAGGCAAUCGCCCGCAUAUAUUAGCAUGGAAUAAUAGAAUAGGACACUUUUCCAUUUCGUUGGUUAUUGGAAUCGUGUAAUGAUUAAUAGGGACAGUUGUGGGCAUUUGUAUUUAAUUGUCAGAGGUGAAAUUCUUGGAUUUAUUAAAGACAAACUAACGCGAAAGCAUUUGCCAAGGAUGUUUUCAUUAAUCAAGAACGAAAGUUAGGGGAUCAAAGACGAUCAGAUACCGUCCUAGUCUUAACUAUAAACUAUUCCGACUCAAUGUUUGACUGGCUUAUAUAACCAGUUGAGCGUUGUAUGAGAAAUCAAAGUCUUUAGGUUCUGGGGGGAGUAUGGUUGCAAAGCUGAAACUUAAAGGAAUUGACGGAAGAGCACAACCAGGAGUGGAUUCUGCGGCUUAAUUUGACUCAACACGGGGAAACUUACCAGGUUAAAACAAUAGUGGGAUUGACAGUUUGAGAGCGCUUUCUUGAUUGGUUAGGUGGUGGUGCAUGGCCGUUCUUAGUUGGUGGAGUGAUUUGUCUGCUUAAUUGCGUUAACGAACGAGACCUUAACCUGCUUACUAGACUGGCGAUCAUCAAUCGUUAGCUCUUCUUAGAGGGACUUUGGUUGUUUUAACUCCAAGGAAGUUUGAGGCAAUAACAGGUCUGUGAUGCCCUUAGAUAUCCUGG
rnacentral:rRNA from 1 species